UACGGGGGGGGCAAGCGUUGUUCGGAAUUACUGGGCGUAAAGGGCUCGUAGGCGGCCAACUAAGUCAGACGUGAAAUCCCUCGGCUUAACCGGGGAACUGCGUCUGAUACUGGAUGGCUUGAGUUCGGGAGAGGGAUGCGGAAUUCCAGGUGUAGCGGUGAAAUGCGUAGAUAUCUGGAGGAACACCGGUGGCGAAGGCGGGUCUCUGGGCAGUAACUGACGCUGAGGAGCGAAAGCGUGGGGAGCGAACAGG
rnacentral:rRNA from 1 species